rnacentral:rRNA from 1 species
UAGGGAAUCUUCGGCAAUGGACGAAAGUCUGACCGAGCAACGCCGCGAGAGUGAAGAAGGUUUUCGGAUCGUAAAACUCUGUUGUUAGAGAAGAACAAGGACGUUAGUAACUGAACGUCCCCUGACGGUAUCUAACCAGAAAGCCACGGCUAACUACGUGCCAGCAGCCGCGGUAAUACGUAGGUGGCAAGCGUUGUCCGGAUUUAUUGGGCGUAAAGCGAGCGCAGGCGGUUUCUUAAGUCUGAUGUGAAAGCCCCCGGCUCAACCGGGGAGGGUAAUUGGAAACAGAGAGACUUGAGUGCAGAAGAGGAGAGUGGAAUUCCAUGUGUAGCGGUGAAAUACGUAGAUAUAUGGCGGAACACCAGUAGCGAAGGCGGCUCUCUGGUCUGUAACUGCAGCUGAGGCUCGAAAGCGUGGGGAGCAAACAGG